UACGAAGGGGGGCUAGCGUUGCUCGGAAUCACUGGGCGUAAAGGGUGCGUAGGCGGGUCUUUAAGUCAGGGGUGAAAUCCUGGAGCUCAACUCCAGAACUGCCUUUGAUACUGAAGAUCUUGAGUUCGGGAGAGGUGAGUGGAACUGCGAGUGUAGAGGUGAAAUUCGUAGAUAUUCGCAAGAACACCAGUGGCGAAGGCGGCUCACUGGCCCGAUACUGACGCUGAGGCACGAAAGCGAUGGGGAGCA
rnacentral:rRNA from 1 species